rnacentral:lncRNA from 1 species
UUGAUUCAUUAUUCUUGCGUCUCUUUGUGUAUGGUAGAACUUUCUGGGUUCUCUUCUCUCCUUCGAAACUUGGUGUCUUUGCCUUUUCUUUUUCUUCGUGAUUCUUGUUCCUUAGCCUGAAAUAUUUGGUUUUCUGGUGAAUCUGAGUAUGUUGAAUCUUGGGGAUUCUUCGAUUUCAGUUUGAAAGGGUUUGUGUUGGUGUUUUGGGAGAGAUUCGGUCCAUUGAGUUACUGCCUCUGUAUUAUGGUUUGGGGUUGUGGUUUUGUGAGCUANNN